UACGUAUGGGGCAAGCGUUAUCCGGAAUUAUUGGGCGUAAAGAGUGCGUAGGUGGUUACCUAAGCGCAAGGUUUAAUCUUGAGGCUCAACCUCAUUCUGCCUUGCGAACUGGGCUACUUGAGUGCUGGAGGGGAAAGCGGAAUUCCCAGUGUAGCGGUGAAAUGCGUAGAUAUUGGGAAGAACACCGGAGGCGAAGGCGGCUUUCUGGACAGUAACUGACACUGAGGCACGAAAGCGUGGGGAGCAAACAGGAUUAGAUACCUGCGUAGUCCCU
rnacentral:rRNA from 1 species